UCGCAUCCCUGUAUCCCCUCUUUCUCAGCCAACAUUAGGCCAUUAUGGGCUCCACCCUUCCUUAGUCAUCUGUUGCGGCCCUGAUUUGUUCUGGCCUUUUCAUACCUCCAUUUUCCCUCCACCCCCAACAUCUACCUUCAAACUGAUGUAAAGUCACCCAUCCUUUUUCUCCAGGGAUGCUGCUUAACCCGCCGAAUUACUCCAGCACAAUGUGUCUAUCUUUGGUAUAAACCAGCAUCUGCAGUUUGUUCCUACACGUAAGAAAUAAUGUUCAUGUCCCACCCACCCUCCACCAAAGUCAAUGAGUAAUGGUCAUUGUAACAAUUUAUUUUCAUUUCUGAGACUAUAAUCAGGUCAUGUAUUGGCACCUCUGCCUAUUGUCAUGCAAAGAACUUUCUUAAUUUGGAAGGGAAUUGAGCAAGUGAAGGACAUUUGGAAUUGAGCCUGAUCUAGCCCCCACAUCAAUUCGCACAUCCAUUGCAGCUGGUUGUAUUUAAAAAGGUGUUCGACCUUUCUCUUUGGUUCUUCCAACUUGUCUUUGGGAAUGUUGAGCUCAGUUGCAGUGCACCCUCAGUCAUUCCAGCUGAAAGUAGCCAAUUAGUGUAUAUCAAAAUAGCCUGGUUUGGAGAUAUAGAUGAAAAAAAUUAUAUUCAUAUGUUGGAAUGGCAUUUUUAUGUAUUAGAAUGACAAUAUACUGCUAAAGUAUAAUGUAUGUACACACUCGCACACUGACUCACACUAAAUUAUUCAUUUUGCAUAUUGUCAUCCCUAGAUCUGGAAGUAAUGUGAAAGGAUAACAAUUCAACAUUAUUAUUCCAACAUAAAGUUAACAAUUUAACAUUAUUAUUCCAAGAGGUAAAAAUCAGGUAAUUACAGAAUAGCAGCAGAAUAGCAGUGUUAGCUGCCAUAUGGCAUAGUGGAGAAGCAAAUACUUAAUUAAAUGGCUAGAUUUAUAGAAACAACAACUGAAGUGACCCUAUUCUUAUAUUGGC